GAGAAUGAAUAAACAGACUAGGUUGAAUCCAUACAAUGGAAUGGUAGCAGACAAUAAAAAGAAAAUGAACUAUUGAUGCCCCCUACUGCACAGCAGAAGCUCUGAAUCGUGUUCCUGAAUGAAAGAAGUCAGAGAUGAAAAGAUGGGCCAGGAGUCCAGUUUCUGGAAGGCCAAGAAUCGAAGUAGUAAGCUGCAGCCGUUUUCCAGACAAGCAGGAUGUGGGGAUGCAGAAGAAUUCAGGACUGGAGGGGCAAACUCCGUAAGCAGGGGCUGUCACGAUUCCCAUCUCCCUCUAUAAACCUCUCUCUUUUCAUGUCAUACUGUUCCAUGUUAUAUGUAACUGUUUUAAAGCUACAUACUGGACAAAAAGUG
ensembl:lncRNA novel transcript